rnacentral:rRNA from 1 species
GACGUAGGUGGCGAACGUUAUCCGGAAUUAUUGGGCGUAAAGGGUGCGUAGAUGGCCUGAUAAGUUAACAGUGGUAAAUCGAGGCUCAACCUCGUGGAAACUGAUAAUACUGUCUGGCUCGAGUACAGAAGAGGUUAACGGAAUUCCAUGUGGAGCGGUAAAAUGCAUAGAUAUGUGGAAGAACACCAAUAACGGCGAAGGCAGUUAACUAUUCUUUUACUGACAUUGAGGCACGAAAGCGUGGGGAGCAAAACGG